rnacentral:rRNA from 1 species
UACGGGGGGGGCAAGCGUUGUUCGGAAUUACUGGGCGUAAAGGGCGUGUAGGCGGCCAACUAAGUCCGACGUGAAAUCCCCAGGCUUAACCUGGGAACUGCGUCGGAUACUGGAUGGCUUGAAUCCGGGAGAGGGAUGCAGAAUUCCAGGUGUAGCGGUGAAAUGCGUAGAUAUCUGGAGGAACACCGGUGGCGAAGGCGGCAUCCUGGACCACGACUGACGCUGAGUGAGCGAAAGCCAGGGGAGCAAACGGG